AUUGAACGCUGGCGGAAUGCUUUACACAUGCAAGUCGAACGGGAGCACGGGGGUAACCCUGGUGGCGAGUGGCGAACGGGUGAGUAACACAUCGGAACGUGCCCAAUCGUGGGGGAUAACGUAGCGAAAGCUACGCUAAUACCGCAUACGAUCUACGGAUGAAAGCGGGGGAUCGCAAGACCUCGCGCGAAUGGAGCGGCCGAUGGCAGAUUAGGUAGUUGGUGGGGUAAAGGCUCACCAAGCCAACGAUCUGUAGCUGGUCGGAGAGGACGACCACGCACACUGGGACUAAGACACGGCCCAGACUCCUACGGGAGGCAGCAGUGGGGAAUUUUGGACAAUGGGCGCAAGCCUGAUCCAGCCAUUCCGCGUGCAGGAUGAAGGCCUUCGGGUUGUAAACUGCUUUUGUACGGAACGAAACGGCCCUUUCUAAUACAGAGGGCUAAUGACGGUACCGUAAGAAUAAGCACCGGCUAACUACGUGCCAGCCGCCGCAGUAACAC
rnacentral:rRNA from 1 species